rnacentral:rRNA from 1 species
UACGGGGGGGGCAAGCGUUGUUCGGAAUUACUGGGCGUAAAGGGCUCGUAGGUGGCCAACUAAGUCAGACGUGAAAUCCCUCGGCUUAACCGGGGAACUGCGUCUGAUACUGGUUGGCUUGAGAUUGGGAGAGGGAUGCGGAAUUCCAGGUGUAGCGGUGAAAUGCGUAGAUAUCUGGAGGAACACCGGUGGCGAAGGCGGCAUCCUGGACCAACACUGACGCUGAGGAGCGAAAGCCAGGGGAGCAAACGGG